UGAGAAUCAGUGAAAGCGCGGCUGCCGCAGUGGUCUGCAGUCCCAUAUUUAAUACUUUACAGCCUGAGUUGGCACGGCGGCGAUCACCAGAGGUUCUGCGGUAGCCUGAAAGAUAGCCCGAUGGGAAGAGGGGCUGCCAGCUUUGUGCCGCAAACCAGCGAGAACUGACUUUAUUAAAGAUCAUUAAAUGUGAUUGAAAACACAGA